AGAUGACUGUAGAGUUUACUAGUUUAGUAGUUCGUGUCAUGCGUUCGUACGUUAAUGUGUUGCGUUUUCUGUGUAAUAUGUGAGUGAUUUGAUGGUGGAGACAGGAAAUCACGGAAAGACACAUAUUGAGUGUGUGGCUUAGGAGGGCAAUCAUGGACUGCAAGGGAGCUAGUUGGGUGAAAAAAGAGAAGAAUGAAAUAUAUGCUGAACCAGAAUCCUUGGCCGGCCGCUGUUGAGUGAACGCCUGCUGCGCUAUCAGCCGUGGAGCCUCUCCUCUGAUGACGACUUCAGUGUGCUGUGCAAGGAGCGGCAGCCAGAGGCGUCGCAAAUGUUCAGUCUCGCUGACGAUCUGUACGCCUUCUAUCGUGUCUACAGGUACGAUGCAGCUGACAUCUAUUCAUUCUACAAAGACGAUUUCAAGAUUGUAGGCAAGUUUAAUACUGGACCCGGCCACUUCACAGUUAUGCGCUGACAACUGUUCAGUUGUUCGAGGAAUGAGAUUCAAAUAUCCUUCUGAACAUGUAGUUUUAGCUCUUGCGUGAUUUUGCACGCCACGCAUGAUCUCUGGUGCUCUUUCCAAAGUCAGUUUGUAGAUUCUUCGGCAACUCUCCGUCUGGAUCUGAUAAGCUAACUACUUCAUUUCGAUGUAUUAUUGACUUCUUCAUUAUGCAGGGACUAAAAAAGACUACGUAGACAAAAUUUUGGAGUGUUUAGAGAAGAUUAAAAUGAACAAAUUUUAUGUGACACAAAUGUCACAGGUGUGAUGUUUUAGAGACGUUACUCAAGUGCCAGCUGGGUACUAACGAUUGUGUAACACACUCGAAACAAGUGGAUGUCUCACAAAUAAUGUUUGCAGCCUCAGGCUAACAGCAACCACCUCACCUGGUGUGUCCGCCAGUGUCUGGUACACUGAACAACUCGUCUCCCUCCCGUAGGAGGCCCGCAGCACCUCUAAAACAGGGUCCAUCCCACAGCACUUUGAACUCCGUCUCUGAACGCCAGUGCAGAUAAGACCUUCAUACAUGUGCAACACGUGCCUCAUAUAAAAAAGUGUUCCUUUUUAUCUUCUAUAAACACUCUAAAAUUCUGUACAUGUAGUUUUUUUCAGACCUAGUCUAAGGCUUGUUUUAAAAAUGGCGAAUGGUUUCUGCAACUUAACGGCUACAGACAAGCUAAUGUUUUGUCAAUACUGUAACUGGUAUAGUGUUCUACAUUUCUCAUCUAUGAUCCUGGCA